rnacentral:rRNA from 1 species
AUUGAACGCUGGCGGCAGGCUUAACACAUGCAAGUCGAGCGGUGCAGCGGACGGGUGAGUAAUGCCGAGGAAUCUGUCUGGCAGUGGCGGAUCACGUCCGGAGCCUGGCGCUAAUACCGCAAACUGGCUGCCGAGACUAGGUGGGAUUACCUAGUUGGUGGGUUAAAGGCCUACCAAGGCUACGAUCCGUAUCUGGGCUGAGAGGAUGUGCAGUCACACUGGAACUGAGACGCGGCCCAGACUCCUACGGGAGGCAGCAGUGGGGAAUAUUCGACAAUGGGCGAAGGCCUAAUCCAGACAUGCCGCGUAUGUGAAGAAGGUAUGCGGAUUGGAAACCAAUUUUAGUUUGGAAGCGUUACCAGCAGAAUAAGCAUCGGCUAACUUCGUGCCAGCAGCCGCGGUAAUUC